AUGCUCAUUUCAGCAGCACAUAUACUAAAAUUGGAACUAUACAGAAAAGAUUAGCAUGGACCCUGCACAAGGAUCACAUGUAAAUUUGUGAAGCCUGUUGACACACU
ensembl:snRNA U6 U6 spliceosomal RNA